rnacentral:rRNA from 1 species
AGCUCCAAUAGCGUAUAUUAAAGUUGUUGCAGUUAAAAAGCUCGUAGUUGGAUUUGUGGCUGUCACGGGCGGCCUAUCACUUAGUGUUAGUGCUUGCCUGUGUCGCCAUCCUUGGGUGGAGCCCGUGUGGCAUUAGGUUGUCGUGCGGGGGAUGCCCAUCGUUUACUGUGAGAAAAUUAGAGUGUUCAAAGCAGGCUUAUGCCGUUGAAUAUGUUAGCAUGGAAUAAUAAGAUAGGACCUCGGUACUAUUUUGUUGGUUUGCGCACCGAGGUAAUGAUUAAUAGGGACAGUUGGGGGUAUUCGUAUUCCAUUGUCAGAGGUGAAAUUCUUGGAUUUCUGGAAGACGAACUACUGCGAAAGCAUUUACCAAGGAUGUUUUCAUUAAUCAAGAACGAAAGUA